AGCGAGUGAAGCUUCUGUCCAUAAGAUCCGUGGACACCGCAAAGUCCACCAGGAAGCUACGCUGCCGCAGGUGUGGCCCCUCCAAGGUCUCCUGUGAAAGCCACUCACUUGUUACUUAGCACUGUUUUCAGCCCCUGCCCACUUAGAUGCCCUGGGACUCGACACAGAGCAGCACCUGAACUGUGAUCCCAGGGCGUUGGAGGAGCACCUGGGUUGUCUGUUGCUGUCUCUGUGUGGAGAUCUGGGGGACUGAACCCCACCCAGCAGGGCGCUCCAGCCCCAACUCCAGCCCCACUCCAGCCCCAGCCCCAUCACCUCCUGCCUCCUGAGCCCUCCCCAGGCCUCUGCGCCCAGGGCGCUCCCACACUGUCCCCUCCUGAACCUCCUUCCUCCACCUGCUGGGGUCAAGAGGUGGCCCCAAACUCUUUAGCUCCAUCCCCCUCCCCCACCAGCCACCAUCUCCGGAAGUCCCCCCUCUGUCUUGCUCUGUGCCAGUGGCCUGGGCCGUCUGCAGCCUCCUAGCAAAGGGUCUUUCGCCCAUGUCCUGUCGGGUUCCUUGCCUGCUCUGGGUGCUGCUCUUGUAGUGUCCCUGUGUCCCACCCCAGGUCACUCGGUGGCCCUGACCGCAGCCUUGCUCCGCCACACCCCGCCGCCCUCUCCAGCCUCCAUCACUCUGCCCCAUCUCAGGGAUCUCGGUCACUCCAGCGGUAGCACCUUGGCUCUGGUGCUGGCAGCCACUGCCGCUCCUCCUGACUCGUUUCCAGCCCUGCCCACCCCCUGGAGCCUCCCCAGGAGGACCGACAUGCCACUCCGGGCAGUACCCCCGACAGUCUCACUUGAAGCCCCACUAGCUGAGCCCACUCCAUGCUGAGGUGAGAGAAAAGCACAAACUGCUUGGCUGCUCUUGUCCAGUGAGCCCCUGGUGCUGCCUAGAAAUCACGUGACCGACUCUCCUG
rnacentral:lncRNA from 1 species